UGCAAAACGGGUGCGGUUUCCUCCCUUCGGUGGCUAUUGUCACAUUCCACCUGGGCCGCAAAUGAUAAAUGCCUCCGCCGAACUCUUCAACGCACGGCAGCAGCAGCAGAAGGCGCAUGCGUGCCGUCUUGCGGGGGAGCGAAAGAGUGAAAAAUGCGCCAGUUUCUGCUCACAAUCGAGUCCACCCCCCUACGUCCGCAAGAAAAGAGCCGUCUCACAAUCCGCAGCACAUUACAGACGCGCCAUAUCUCAUCGCCCAGCUUCCCGAGUCGUCCGCAUGCCUUACAUAUAUGCAUAUGUAUAUAUAUGUGUAUACCGCGGAAGGAGCACGUAUGGGACAUGCAGGGAGCUGACGCACAAGCGUGUGGUGAGGGCGUUUCGUCAAAAACCGCCUAUUCUUCGGAGAUACCGCCGAAAUAAGAAGAAGAAAAAAAUUGUCGAAACUGAACCAAGCAGAAGGAAAGUGAGCCGGUUUCCGCGGACCAUACGGGUCAUCGUUUCGGGUGAGAAGGCACCGCUUGACAGCACGAAAGGGCAGCGUGUUUGCGCUUUUGCGGGGCUCUCUGCUCUGGAACCAAGGAAAGCGCAAGAACAGGAAAAAGGGGUGAGCGGGCGUUUCGCCUGCGACCCGCGACCGCCUACGCGAACAGGCCUGACAUCUGCGGGAGCCUGUCGGGGUGUUCCGGGUUCCGGCUGCGGUGCUCUACCGGAAGGCGCAGGGCGGACCCCAGAAAGAACGCGGCGUGCAACGCGUGACGAACGCGAUGCGUUCUGCCUUAUCGGUCCGGUCGGCGCUGCCACCCGGCUGCUCCGGGAGAUCCCUGCUGUCUUCAUCUGCGGCCUUGGCUACUGACGUGGGCCACAGCAGCGCUUCGCGGCACUGCUGAGUUGGCAGAGCGUCUUGGCCACGGGCGGCAAUCGCCAACUCCCCCCGCAGUUCACACCCACGAGCUGGCUCCCUGGGGUUCAGCCGUGACUGCGAACGUGACAACGGCGCGGCUCGAAUACUUUACCGUGUCCAGGUGAAUAAAAUCUACCCACCUUAAUAUCUGGUCCACAAGUUGACUACACUCCAAUCAACAGAGCACACAUGCACCACGUUCCCAUCGUCUAGUGUUUCCGCAUAACAAGUAUAGCCUGUUUUCGAUGUUGGCCAGCAAAAUGAAUUAGAAAUAAAUUUAUUGAG